GCGCUCAUAGCUCAGCCUGGAUAGAGUUACAGACUUCGAAUCUGGAGGUCGUAGGUUCGAAUCCUACUGGGCGCACCA
rnacentral:tRNA from 1 species